UACGUAGGGUGCAAGCGUUGUCCGGAAUUAUUGGGCGUAAAGAGCUCGUAGGCGGUCUGUCGCGUCUGCUGUGAAAACUCAGGGCUUAACCCUGAGCUUGCAGUGGGUACGGGCAGACUAGAGUGCGGUAGGGGAGACUGGAAUUCCUGGUGUAGCGGUGAAAUGCGCAGAUAUCAGGAGGAACACCGGUGGGCGGAAGGCGGGUCUCUGGGCCGUAACU
rnacentral:rRNA from 1 species